UUGAAAAUGGCUUGUUUUUCUCCUUUUAGAUUCCACCAUCUAGUCCUUGGGCACUUCCAAGUCUUGUUUUUUUUUCUCACUCUUUUGAUAUGUACAUCCAUCACCAACAAGCGAUGUUGAUUAGCCAAGCUCUCUCCCGAUAUAACUUUGCAAUCCUUACAAGUUAUACGAUCCCCUUUCCUCAUUAGAAGAAAAUCUAUUU
rnacentral:lncRNA from 1 species